rnacentral:misc_RNA from 1 species
CAGCCUUUAUGGAAUCAGGAAUAGAUGCUCUGCCCUUAGGGGUAAUUACAUGUACAAGGUCAUCCACAGUAACAUUGCUCCUCCCUUUCUUCUUUAUAAAUGCCCUGCAAAGAGCUUUCAUUUCGUCUUUCCAUCCACAUUCUAUAAGCCUUUCCCUCAAAAGUUCCAUCAAUCGCUCCUUUUCUCCACUCUCAAUCAACUUAAUGUUGAUAAU